AUUGAACGCUGGCGGCAUGCCUUACACAUGCAAGUCGAACGGCAGCACGGGAGCAAUCCUGGUGGCGAGUGGCGAGCGGGUGAGUAAAGUAUCGGAACGUGCCCAGUCGUGGGGGAUAACGUAGCGAAAGUUACGCUAAUACCGCAUACGAUCUAUGGAUGAAAGCGGGGGAUCGCAAGACCUCGCGCGAUUGGAGCGGCCGAUAUCAGAUUAGGUAGUUGGUGGGGUAAAGGCUCACCAAGCCGACGAUCUGUAGCUGGUCUGAGAGGACGGCCAGCCAAACUGGGACUGAGACACGGCCCAGACUCCUACGGGGGGCAGCAGUGGGGAAUUUUGGACAAUGGGCGAAGGCCUGAUCCAGCCAUGCCGCGUGCAGGAUGAAGGCCUUCGGGUUGUAAACUGCUUUUGUACGGAACGAAAAGGUUUGGCCUAAUAAGCUGAGCUCAUGACGGUACCGUAAGAAUAAGCACCGGCUAACUACGUGCCAGCAGCCGCCGUAA
rnacentral:rRNA from 1 species